GUCUUUUUGAAUUUAAUAAAAUGUAUUAUCUGCCCAUUGAUAACUAUAUAACGGCCGCAGUAUUUUAGGUGUGCAAAGGUAGUAUAAUCAAUAGUAUUUUUCCAGAGGGGUUGUGUGGAUUUCCGGAAGAUAUAUAAACUUUCUCAAAAAAAAUAAAAAUAGAUUAAUUUUUUUUUGUUAAAAAGCUAAAAUAUACUUAAAAGGCGAGAAGCCCCUAUAGCUCUCUAUAUUUUUUUUUAUUAUUGUUAUUUGGUUAUAUUAUAUAAUAAUAAAAUAAAUUAUUUUGUUGGGGUGACAUUGAAAUUUAAUUAACUUUCAAAUUUUAUAAACAUUAAUAAAUGAAUUUAUGAUCCUUUAUUAUAGAUUAAAAAUUUAAGUUACCUUAGGGAUAACAGCGUAAUUAUUUUGGAGAGUUCAUAUCGAUAAAAUGGAUUGCGACCUCGAUGUUGGAUUAAGAUUAAUUUUGGGUGUAGUAGUUCAAUAAAUUAAGUCUGUUCGACUUUUAAUUUCUU
rnacentral:rRNA from 1 species